rnacentral:sRNA from 1 species
CCAUGACCUUGGAAGCUCAACAAAUACAAAGAUCGAGCCUUGUGGCUUGAAGCUAAUGCGGAAGCCAAAAUCAGUAAGCACCUGAAGGAUGAAGUCUCUUCUCGCCUCUGGUGGGCUUGUUAACGCAACCAACGCAGCUUCUUGGAAUGGUGCAGGGGCUGAAUCAGUUAGCUUGACAUGGAUGUUUCUUAUUGCUGAGGCGAUAUUAGCUGGAGCACAAGCCCAUCCAAUUCUCCAACCUAGCCAGUUUAGACAACAGAAUCUUCAUAUGUCCCAAACGUCUCACAAGUAGUUGAUUGCAUUGCAGUGUGCAAACUUGAGUUCUGCUCACCAGUUACGCUGUAAGUUUUUGACAGUGAGGAAGUAAUGAUGGUCCUUUCUUGCAUUCCUGGAAGCGAAGCCAAUGAGAUAUGCUUGUUCUCAUCGUAAGUAAUGUACUCAUAAACCUGGAAGAUAUUCAGAUAUAUUUAGAAGAUAGAGAGAGAGAGACUGAUGAAAAUUUCUU